rnacentral:lncRNA from 1 species
UCCCAUACAUUCUUUUCCUUCUACCAUGGAUAGGGUAAGUUCAAAAAGCUGACAUUAUUUCUCUAGUUUCGUUCAAACACUGGGGACGAGGGAGGCACUGGGUCAUCACCUUUCAUUAGGAACCAGGGAAUAAAAAUGCAAAGUCUGACAAAUGUAGGUUUUUACUGUACUUUUUACAGAGUCAUGAGCUAGAGUUUUACUACCUGGAGAGUUUGUAUAUGCAGGGAAAAAAAUCAAAAGAUUAAAUAGCUCCUUCAGCAGAAUAUGGCUAAUUUUCUCAUCCUCACCAUCAUAAGCAAACAAGAAAAAUUAUCAAAGUAUUGAGGAUUACUGAAGGGAAUUUAAACAGUCCCAACCAAUAUAACCUAAAAGAUGAAGAAAAGAAACUUAAGACCUUUCCACAGUAACAUUACUAGUAGUCACUGUGCUAAAUAGAGAUCUGAUUAUAGAAGUAAGAGUCUUUGCCAAAGUCUCCAUCAUUCUGUUAUCAGUGAUUGUGAGACAUGCAUCUCACUAAGAGACCUUAGUGUCAUCUUCUAGCACUUGACCUUCAGUAUUAGAAGCUUUACUUUAGUAACAAUU